GGACUACCAGGGUAUCUAAUCCCGUUCGCUCCCCUGGCUUUCGCGCCUCAGCGUCAGGAGGGGUCCAGCGCGCCGCUUUCGCCGCCGGCGUUCCUUCCGAUAUCUACGCAUUUCACCGCUCCACCGGAAGUUCCGCGCGCCCCUACCCCCCUCGAGCCAGUCAGUAUCGGGGGCGCUUUUCCGGUUGGGCCGAAAGAUUUCACCCCCGACUUGACUAGCCGCCUACGCGCCCUUUAAGCCCAGUGAAUCCGAACAACGUUCGCACGGUUCGUCUUACCGCGGCUGCUGGCAC
rnacentral:rRNA from 2 species